GAUCAAGCGAAUAAGUGCAUGUGGUGGAUGCCUUGGCGAUUACAGGCGAUGAAGGGCGUGGAAGCCUGCGAAAAGCUCCGGGGAGCUGGCAAACAAGCUUUGAUCCGGAGAUGUCCGAAUGGGGAAACCCGGCCCGCAAGGGUCAACCUUGACUGAAUACAUAGGUCAAGCGUAGCGAACCUGGUGAACUGAAACAUCUAAGUAACCAGAGGAACAGAAAUCAACCGAGAUUCCCAGAGUAGCGGCGAGCGAAAUGGGAUCAGCCUCCAAUUUUUAGCACUUGAACUAAUCAAACCGUCUGGAAAGUCGGGCCAUAGUGGGUGAUAGCCCCGUAGAUGAAAGUUUGAGUGUGGAACUAGGGUUGGAACAAGUAGGGCGGGACACGAGAAAUCCUGUUUGAAUAUGGGGGGACCAUCCUCCAAGGCUAAAUACUCGUAAUCGACCGAUAGUGAACCAGUACCGUGAGGGAAAGGCGAAAAGAACCCCGGGAGGGGAGUGAAAUAGAUCCUGAAACCGCGUGCAUACAAACAGUAGGAGCCCUUCGGGGUGACUGCGUACCUUUUGUAUAAUGGGUCAGCGACUUACAUUCAGUAGCAAGCUUAACCAAAUAGGGGAAGCGUAGCGAAAGCGAGUCUUAAUAGGGCGUUUAGUUGCUGGGUGUAGACCCGAAACCAGAUGAUCUACUCAUGGCCAGGAUGAAGCGGGGGUAACACUUCGUGGAGGUCCGAACCCACUAAUGUUGAAAAAUUAGGGGAUGAGCUGUGGGUAGGGGUGAAAGGCUAAUCAAAUCUGGAAAUAGCUGGUUCUCUCCGAAAACUAUUUAGGUAGUGCCUCACGUAUCACCUUCGGGGGUAGAGCACUGUUAUGGCUAGGGGGCCGUUUAGGCUUACCAACCCAUGGCAAACUCCGAAUACCGAAGAGUGCAAGCGUGGGAGACAGACAUCGGGUGCUAACGUCCGGUGUCAAAAGGGAAACAACCCAGACCCUCAGCUAAGGUCCCAAAGUACAGUUAAGUGGUAAACGAAGUGGGAAGGCGAAAACAGUCAGGAAGUUGGCUUAGAAGCAGCCACCUUUUAAAGAAAGCGUAAUAGCUCACUGAUCGAGUCGUCCUGCGCGGAAAAUGUAACGGGGCUCAAACUGUACACCGAAGCUAGGGAUUUACACAAGGUCAGCCUUGUGUAAAUGGUAGGAGAGCGUUCCGUAAGCCUGCGAAGGCAGCUUGUGAAGGCUGUUGGAGGUAUCGGAAGUGCGAAUGCUGACAUGAGUAGCGAUAAAGGGAGUGAAAGGCUCCCUCGCCGAAAACCCAAGGAUUCCUGUGCAACGUUCAUCGGCGCAGGGUGAGUCGGCCCCUAAGGUGAGGCAGAAAUGCGUAGCUGAUGGGAAACUGGUUAAUAUUCCAGUACCUUUAUUCAAUGCGAUGUGGGGACGGAGAAGGUUAGCUCAGCCGGGUGUUGGAUGUCCCGGUUCAAGCGUGUAGACGUGCUGCUUAGGCAAAUCCGAGCAGCUUAGUUGAGACGCGAUAACGCAACGCCCUUCGGGGCGCCAAGUGAGUGAUACCAUGCUUCCAGGAAAAGCCACUAAGCUUCAGUUGAAUAAAGACCGUACCGCAAACCAACACAGGUGGGUGGGAUGAGAAUUCUAAGGCGCUUGAGAGAACUCUGGAGAAGGAACUCGGCAAAUUAACUCCGUAACUUCGGGAUAAGGAGUGCCCUCGGUACGUGUAGCGCUUUACGCGUGAAGCGGAUGAGGGUUGCAAAGAAAUGGUGGCUGCGACUGUUUAAUAAAAACACAGCACUCUGCAAACACGCAAGUGGACGUAUAGAGUGUGACGCCUGCCCGGUGCCGGAAGGUUAAAUGAUGGGGUGCAAGCUCUUGAUUGAAGCCCCGGUAAACGGCGGCCGUAACUAUAACGGUCCUAAGGUAGCGAAAUUCCUUGUCGGGUAAGUUCCGACCUGCACGAAUGGCGUAACGAUGGCCACACUGUCUCCUCCAGGGACUCAGCGAAGUUGAAAUGGUUGUGAAGAUGCAAUCUACCCGCGGCUAGACGGAAAGACCCCGUGCACCUUUACUGUAGCUUUACAUUGGGUUUUGAGAAUAUUUGUGUAGGAUAGGUGGGAGGCUUUGAAGUGAGCUCGCUAGAGUUCAUGGAGCCAUCGUUGAAAUACCACCCUGAUGUUCUUGAGAUUCUAACCUAGAUCCAUUAUCUGGAUCGGGGACCGUGUAUGGUAGGCAGUUUGACUGGGGCGGUCUCCUCCCAAAGUGUAACGGAGGAGUACGAAGGUACGCUAGGUACGGUCGGAAAUCGUGCUGAUAGUGCAAUGGCAUAAGCGUGCUUGACUGCGAGACUGACAAGUCGAGCAGAUGCGAAAGCAGGUCAUAGUGAUCCGGUGGUUCUGUAUGGAAGGGCCAUCGCUCAACGGAUAAAAGGUACGCCGGGGAUAACAGGCUAAUUCCUCCCAAGAGUUCAUAUCGACGGGGGAGUUUGGCACCUCGAUGUCGGCUCAUCACAUCCUGGGGCUGUAGCCGGUCCCAAGGGUAUGGCUGUUCGCCAUUUAAAGUGGUACGUGAGCUGGGUUUAAAACGUCGUGAGACAGUUUGGUCCCUAUCUGCCGUGGGCGCUGGAAGUUUGAGAGGACCUGCUCCUAGUACGAGAGGACCGGAGUGGACACACCUCUGGUGUACCGGUUAUGACGCCAGUCGUAUUGCCGGGUAGCUAAGUGUGGAAGAGAUAACCGCUGAAAGCAUCUAAGCGGGAAACUCACCUCAAGAUAAGACUUCCCGGGGGUUAAACCCCCCUAAAGGAUCGUUGAAGACCACGACGUUGAUAGGUCGGGUGUGGAAGCACAGCAAUGUGUUAAGCUAACCGAUACUAAUUGUCCGUGUGGCUUGAUCCUA
rnacentral:rRNA from 1 species